rnacentral:misc_RNA from 1 species
GAUGAAGAACGUAGCGAAAUGCGAUACUUGGUGUGAAUUGCAGAAUCCCGUGAACCAUCGAGUCUUUGAACGCAAGUUGCGCCCGAAGCCAUUAGGCCGAGGGCACGCCUGCCUGGGCGUCACACGUCGUUGCCCCCCCAUCUACUCCUUCGGGAUUGCGGGGGGCGGAUGAUGGCCUCCCGUGCGCCUCGUCGCGCGGUUGGCAUAAAUGCCAAGUCCUCGGCGACGCACGCCACGACAAUCGGUGGUUGCGAAACCUCGGUUGCCGUCGUGUGCGGUCGUCGCGCAUCGAGGGCUCGAAAAAAUUGCCGGGCUCCGGCUCGGCUUUCAACGCGACCCCAGGUCAGGCGGGGUUACCCGCUGAAUUUAAGCAUAUCAAUAAGCGGAGGA